rnacentral:lncRNA from 1 species
ACAUUUUGCCCUAAAUAGACACUGACCGAGGCUGACUCUCCAACUAGCUGUUUUGUCACAGGCGAGCGGAAACUAGUCAUGAACAAUGAGUGUGCAUUCUUGGUUCUUAAAUGGCUAAGGAACGAGCCAGUUUUGACAUGCUGCAAAUCCGGCAAAGUCUGGGUUAACAAAAGUGUGUUUGACAAAAGAUGAAGUUUCUUUUCCUAUAUUUUCCCCAAAAGU